rnacentral:tRNA from 1 species
ACUCCUGUGGUGGAAUUGGUAGACACACUUGCCUCAAAAGCAAGAGCUUGAAAAAGAGUAAGAGUUCAAAUCUCUUCAGGAGUA